AUGGGGCUCCAUGCAGGCGUGACCCUUCUGGAGUGCGGGGGGGACCUCCAGGCCCCCAGGGGGUCCCUGACGUUGCUGUGCCGCGCAACUGGGUUUGAUUUUGGCAGUUUUGGGAUGGGCUGGAUGUGCCAGAGACCUGGGCAGACGCUGGAGUACAUCGCCAGUAUCAACAGCAAUGGUGGCAGCACGGACUACGCGCCGUCUGUCAUGGGCCGGGUCACAAUCUCCAGGGACAACGGGCAGAGCUCGGUGACGCUGACCAUGAACAACCUCAAGGACGAGGAUUCCGCCAUUUAUUGCUGUGCCAAGGGUGCUACUAGUGGUUAUGGUGGUGGUGUUGCUGCUUUUAGUGACAAUUCCGGCUGUGGUCCCGCCCUCCACGAUGGUCACCAGAUGUCUCCACUCCCAAUCCGGACCCGGCCCCUGAACGAUGGCACGUAG